CACGGCGGUUGAAGUAUUAGGUGUUGAACGUUUCUAGUGGCGAACGGGUGAGUAACGCGUGGGCAACCUGCCCUCUAGAUGGGGACAACAUCCCGAAAGGGGGUGCUAAUACCGAAUGUGACAGCAAUCUCGCAUGAGGAUGCUGUGAAAGAUGGCCUCUAUUUAUAAGCUAUCGCUAGAGGAUGGGCCUGCGUCUGAUUAGCUAGUUGGUGGGGUAACGGCCUACCAAGGCGAUGAUCAGUAGCCGGUCUGAGAGGAUGAACGGCCACAUUGGGACUGAGACACGGCCCCAGACUCCUACGGGAGGCAGCAGUGGGGAAUCUUCCGCAAUGGGGCGAAAGCCUGACGGAGCAAUGCCGCGUGAGUGAUGAAGGAAUUCGUUCCGUAAAGCUCUUUUGUUUAUGACGAAUGUGCAGAUUGUAAAUAAUGAUCUGUAAUGACGGUAGUAAACGAAUAAGCCACGGCUAACUACGUG
rnacentral:rRNA from 1 species